UGCAGUAUGAAUACUGAUCCAUUAUAUCAGAGUUGUAGUGUUGCAGAAGUCUCUUGGGAUCAUAAGCAACAUAUCACUUGCCUUCUAGGAUUUCGUAGUAAAGAAACUCCUGGGGGACUGGAAGAAAAUAUAUCAUUUUUUACCGGUGUGCUGAAGGAUGAAUAUUCAAUUAUGGAUUCAGAAGCAAAGAAGGCUAUAAUUUGGUUAGCUAAGCUGUCACCACAGAAGCUGUUAGAGAUGGAAACAACUGGGUUGGUGCAACCUAUUGUACAGACUUCCAUAGGAGUUCCCCAUGGCCAUCAUAAAAUAUUUCAAGCCUUUGGUCUUGUCAAGAGGGUUGCAAAGGGUACAACUAUGUGGUACUAUCCUAGAGGUCUUAUGAACCUGGUCUUUGAUUUGGAUGCCCUAAGAGUAGCUCUGUGUAAACCUCUGGAUUCAUUUAGAUUGUAUUUGUCUCGGGCUACUUUAGUUGUCGUCCCUUCAAAUCUAGUUGAUCAUUGGAGAGG
rnacentral:misc_RNA from 1 species